GACACGCCCUUUACUGGCUUCCUUCUCUUGCCCAUCUCACUUGUCACUCCCUUAUCAGUGUUUCUGGGGUUCUCUCUAAAUUCUUAUCUCUGAGUCUGCUUCUAGGAGAACCCGAAUGAAGUCAAUAGGAAGGCCCUGGAGGAGGAAGGGUGACCCUUCAUUACUUUAAGCGAGCUCUGAGUGAGUAUUGACCCUGUGCAGAGACUGCUGGCACUACACGUGGAUCAGUGCAGUGAAGGCUCCCAAUGAGAAGCAGGCGGUUAUCAUUGACCACGUUUCACAAAUAAGAAAACCGAAGCUCAGAAGGAUGAAGGAAUCUGCCAAAGAGGGAGUGGAAAGUUGGAAUCUGCGAGAAAUCUCCUGCCCUGCAGAGGGAGCUGCCCAUGAAACUCCAUCACUAACUUGCACUAGAAAUGAGGUAAUUUCCUUGAGGUGCAGGUUUGUCACCUCUACUGGCCUAUUCCAGAGGCCUCGCCUGCUCAGAUUUCAUUUGCAUUUUACAGGUAACUCAUGGAGUUACCCCAAAAGAUCAUGGACUUGUCUUUAAAAAUCAAUGGAUUUUCUCGUUUGAAAUUUGUGAAUCUGAAUUAAGUGUGUCACAUCUGAUGUUCGUGUUUUAAAUGUUUUAAACUGGUUUGCUGUGAACCACUAGCACUAUCCCAGGCUCAAACUUAUUUAGAAAGCAUGUUGGGUUCUGGGAAUAAUCCUAGUAGCCUGUCCUUCUGUCAGAGCUUUUAGAAAGGGCUUUCCUCCUCACGUAAGUAAACACCCCAAAAUGACAUCAAAAUUCCCUCUAAGUCUCAGCAUUUAACCAAUAAUUUUUAGUUUCUUGUUGUUUACGUUCAGUCUAAAAGGCCAAACACAGAUGCAAUAUUGUGGGAGAAAUUAACUGUCUUGAUUCCAGAACUGAGCUGAUACCUUCCCAAGGUGAGAUCCCUGUGAGAUGUUCCCCGGGUAAUUAGGAAGAGCUUGAAGGAUGGGUGGUUUGGCCUUUAGUCUUAUUCUAGUUAUAAGAAACUUCAUUCCUUGUUCAGGUACAGGUGUGUCAGUAAACAUUGGAAGAACAAUAGAUUGUUUCUGUUUCCUGAAGUCUGACCCCCAACCUGGACCGAGAAUUGGCACGGAGCAUCCAUCAUGUGUAAGCACAUGACAUACACUAUCUCCAUCCUUUAUAAGAACUCUGAAAUAUUAUUAUCCUAAG
rnacentral:lncRNA from 1 species